AUUGAACGCUGGCGGCAGGCCUAACACAUGCAAGUCGAGCGGAUGAAGGAAGCUUGCUCCUGGAUUCAGCGGCGGACGGGUGAGUAAUGCCUAGGAAUCUGCCUGGUAGUGGGGGAUAACGUCCGGAAACGGGCGCUAAUACCGCAUACGUCCUGAGGGAGAAAGUGGGGGAUCUUCGGACCUCACGCUAUCAGAUGAGCCUAGGUCGGAUUAGCUAGUUGGUGGGGUAAAGGCCUACCAAGGCGACGAUCCGUAACUGGUCUGAGAGGAUGAUCAGUCACACUGGAACUGAGACACGGUCCAGACUCCUACGGGAGGCAGCAGUGGGGAAUAUUGGACAAUGGGCGAAAGCCUGAUCCAGCCAUGCCGCGUGUGUGAAGAAGGCCUUCGGAUUGUAAAGCACUUUAAGUUGGGAGGAAGGGCAGUAAGUUAAUACCUUGCUGUUUUGACGUUACCAACAGAAUAAGCACCGGCUAACUUCGUG
rnacentral:rRNA from 1 species